rnacentral:rRNA from 1 species
AAAGAUUAAGCCAUGCAUGUCUAAGUAUAAACGAUCUAAUCGUGAAACCGCGAAUGGCUCACUAUAACAGCUAUAAUUUACUUGAUCUUGACACUAUCCUACUUGGAUAACUGUGGUAAUUCUAGAGCUAAUACAUGCAUUAAAGCUCUGACCUCACGGGAAGAGUGCACUUAUUAGAACAAAACCAAGCGGCUUCGGCUGUUUUCGGUUGACUCAUAGUAACUGAGCUGAUCGCACGGUCUUGCACCGGCGACGUGUCUUUCAAGUAUCUGCCGUAUCAACUUUCGAUGGUAGUGUAUCUGACUACCAUGGUGAUCACGCGUAACGGAGAAUAAGGGUUCGGCUCCGGAGAGUUCGCCUGAGAAAUCGCGAACACAUCUAAGGAAGGCAGCAGGCGCGAAAAUUACCCACUCUCAGCACGAGGAGGUAGUGACGAAAAAUAACGAGACCGUUCUCUUAUGAGGCCGGUCAUCGGAAUGGGUACAAUUUAAACCCUUUAACGAGUAUCUAUGAGAGGGCAAGUCUGGUGCCAGCAGCCGCGGUAAUUCCGGCUCUCAAAGUGCAUAGAAUUAUUGCUGCGGUUAAAAAGCUCGUAGUUGGAUCUGUGCCAUAGGACGUGGUCCACCUUCGGGUGCGUACUACGCUCCUAGGCUUUUUGCUGGUUUUCCCGUCGUAGCCUUCACUGGUUGCGGCGGGUGGCUGGCGAGUUUACUUUGAGAAAAUCAGAGUGCUCAAUACAGGCGUAUCGCUUGAAUGAUUGUGCAUGGAAUAAUAGAAAAGGAUUUCGGUCCUCUUUUAUUGGUUUUGUGGACUGAGAUAAUGGUUAACAGGGACAAACGGGGGCAUUCGUAUCUCUGCGUGAGAGGUGAAAUUCUUGGACCGUAGAGAGACGCCCUACUGCGAAAGCAUUUGCCAAGAAUG